UAGGGAAUCUUCGGCAAUGGACGAAAGUCUGACCGAGCAACGCCGCGUGAGUGAAGAAGGUUUUCGGAUCGUAAAACUCUGUUGUUAGAGAAGAACAAGGACGUUAGUAACUGAACGUCCCCUGACGGUAUCUAACCAGAAAGCCACGGCUAACUACGUGCCAGCAGCCGCGGUAAUACGUAGGUGGCAAGCGUUGUCCGGAUUUAUUGGGCGUAAAGCGAGCGCAGGCGGUUUCUUAAGUCUGAUGUGAAAGCCCCCGGCUCAACCGGGGAGGGUCAUUGGAAACUGGGAGACUUGAGUGCAGAAGAGGGGAGUGGAACUCCAUGUGUAGCGGUGAAAUGCGUAGAUAUAUGGAGGAACACCAGUGGCGAAGGCGGAUCUCUGGUCUGUAACUGACGCUGAGGGUCGAAAGCGUGGGGAGCAAACAGG
rnacentral:rRNA from 1 species